AUGGAUAGGCAAGGCAUUUCCUCUCCGGUCUACGACAACAACGACGGCUUGAACAACUACAUCACCAAAGCGUCCAUCUUCGAUCUACAACGACAAAUGCAAGGCGCACAAUCAAGAUUGCGAGAGCGCAUCGAGAACAUCUCCAUCGACAUUCGUCACUCCGAAGCAAGAAAAAGGGACUACAUAGACAAGAAGCUUUCCGCACAUAAAGAGGAGCACGAUGCAAGGAUGGAGGAGAUUAGAAUCUUGAUCAAGUCUUCUUCCACUUCGUCAUCUUCAAGGCGGCGACAUUCAAGCCACAAGUCUUCGGAGCGCGAAAAAGAUGCAAGCGCAAGUCGUCCAAGUCCACAUCUACAUGGCGACUACCAUCACUUUCGCGAUCCACAUCGUCAUGAAGGGCAAGUCACCUCCAAGCAUCAUGUGCACGACGACGACGAACGCCCACAAGCUCAAGCACGACAACGACAUCAUGAUCAUGAAGAUGCUCCACAAGCGCAAGUGCACAAGUCCCAACAAGCCCUACUUCACGCCAAGUCCAAGCUUCAAGAGAACAAAAGAAGACCGCGAGACGACCACCACCAAGACAGCGCUACGGCUACACCAACCACUUUGGCAUCUUCGCCAAGUGCUAUCAAGGCAUCUUCGCCUUUGGACGUACGGCAUCUUUGCCUACUUCCCACGAGUACGCCUACAACGACUUCAUCAAGUCCAAGGCAACCACCUACGAGCGAGGGCGACACUUCCAUCUUCGGAAGCCCCUCAAGGAAGAAGGCCAAGCAUGGGACAUUCCCUUCGGUCAUGGAGACAAGCUAUGAGGUGCCACAUCAUAUGGGCCUCCAACAACAAGACGGUGACAAGAAGGUUGAGCAUGGGACUAUCCCUUCAACCAAGGCGACGAUAGUAGUUGAGCAUGGAGACAUUUGCACCAACAUCUCUCCGACACCCACAUAUCAUGAGAUGACCCAUUUGUCAUGUGAGGAGAGCCACCACCACAUGAGUGACAUGAGUGACUCCACCAUAUGUGACAUUGAGAGCAUUUCCUAUGAGAGGAUGAGUGUGACCACCACUAGCCCCACACAAGAGAGCAUGCCACACAUCCUAUGUGAGGUUGAGCGCCAUUUGAGUGACUCCACCAACAAUAUGAGUGAGUGCAUCCUUGAGGGAGUGAGUGAGCCACAACACUUAGUGAGUGAGAUAGUUGACACGGCAUGUGAGGCCACCAUGAUUUCUAACGACUUAACCUCUACUCCUAGUGUGUUUUCUUCUUUGGUGCUAGGUUUCCUACAUGACGACAUGCCUAUCCUCCAUGAGUCCAUCCCUCCAAUGGACAAAAUGACGGCCAUGGUGGACGAUGAUGCACCCCCCACAUGGUUCCAUCAAGAUGAAGAUGACAAUGAGACGAUCUUCAACACCUCACCUACAACACAUGAGCGACACUCCAAAGAUGAUGCGGAGCAUCCUUCCAUCAUCCCCAUGGACUCUACAUUGACACAUCCAACCCCACAAGGACCCAUGACAAGAGCUAGAGCACGUGCUUUGGAAACCGAGGUGAACUCCUUCCUACUAGACUUGCAUAUGGACACAAAUGGAACAUAUCUACUACCUCACCAAAAUAUGCUAUGCCUACUUAGGUAUGAAGUGGAACAUCACCAAGAAGCUCAGGAGCAUCCCCAAGAAGAAGGAGAAGCACCCCAAGGCCGCCCGGAUCAAGACGAAGUGCAACAGCAGCAAAACAGCAAGUCCCAGGUUACCCCGUGCGCACGGGCCCCCGAGACCCCGUGCCCACGGGCUACACAGGAAACAGGCGCUGGAGCACCCCGUGCGCACGGGACUGUACUGUGCCCACGGGACCCCCGUGCGCACGGGCCCAACUUACCCCGUGCGCACGGGCCUCCCAGGAUGGCCGGCUGA
rnacentral:rRNA from 1 species